ensembl:lncRNA
CCUCAUCUCUUUCCUCAUCUCUCUCUCUCUCUUUCUCAUCCUCUCUCUCUCUCUCCCUCUCUCAUCCUCUCUUGCUGUCUCCAGGAGAGUGUGAGUUCUGUAUUGUAUAAGCAAGCAUCUGUGCGGGGCUCACUGCUGGAUCGGUGCCAUCUCUGCCACCAGGCCUCCCACGCUGCCUCUGACUGCCUGUUCUAAGAAUACUUCAAAAUCAAAGUCUUCCUGUAGGUGCCUCACUGACUACAGUUGAACAGUUAUUUUCUCAUUUUCUCUGUUCUUCCCAUACGAACUGAUUGCUCUGUGUUCUCAUAUUCAUCCUGUGUUGAAAUCAAGUGGUCCCUUCCUUUUGUUAUCUCUUCCAUUUGUGUUUUUGUACCUCUCUGAAUCCUGAGGUGCUGCGCUGUCUUGUUGAUCUUUUUCUUCUGUCUUUUCUAUAUGAAGUUCCACAACCCUCUUUGGCUUUAUUAUUGUAGAGCCACACACGUCACAGGUCAUUACAGUACACGCAUGCACUCACUCUGUCCGCCUUGUGUUUCGUCACACUUUCUUGGGUUGCAAAAAGUACCUCUUUGUGCAUUGCAUUUACAUAAUUAUCAGUAAAUGUUAUUCACGUUCCAAUUCCAUUUCCUACAGAAAGGGAUGAUGGCUUUGUCAUGUUUGUACACCCUGUAUUUAUACCCAAUUCAUGUAAUGGCAUAUUCCAUGUGCACUAAGCUCUUGUCAAUGACUAAUGGGCUUUAUAGUGACCUCACUGACCUACUCUGUGGAGGGAGUCUUUGUGGGGAAGACUUACAAAGGACUGUAGUUUUGAUGGGCCUUUUGUACUUGUCUUGGACAAUUAAAACCACACUGUGGUAUCAACAGAUUCCAAUUGCAAAAAUCAUGUGGGUGAUUAAUGUACUGUACAUGUAAAAAGGUUUGUGGUGCAUGAAAAGUCUGAGACACAAACAUGGGUUGUAGAUCAGUGUCUGAUGUCUCUCGUCUUCUUUCAGGUAUGGUUAACUUUUUUAAUUCAUACUUUUUAAUUUAUAUCAGAACUUAAAACUGAAAAUAGUCUUGAUGAUUUUUUUCUGUUCUAUCUUUGAAUUAUCUUAAUGAACAUCAUUAAUCUCAGUUAAGCCAUCACUGUCUCAUCAUUCCACUCCUCCCCGGAAGACCAUGAGUCACCCUCGUCAUUGGAGUCGUCCAACUGUGUUGCUGCAACCUGCUCUCCCUCUCUUCCCAGCAGGGUGGUUAUCUGGGAAUGCCCUUCUUUCUCCAUCCCGAAUAAAGGCAUGUUCGACAAGUGGGUGGAUUUCUCAUCACUUUCAUUGGCUCCUUGAUGGUCCUCGGCAGACCCCCAGGCUUGCUCGAACCUCAGGCUGUGACUGGUUUGAAAGGUGACACUCUGACAUUGUUUCUGGUUAAUCUCAUUCGCGUCGGAGGUGGCUGCCAUCUGUCGAGUAGAGCCCCAGAAGUCUUCCUCCAUGUUACCACUGAAGAGACUGUGGAGGCUGUUGUCUUUCCCAUUACUUUUAGGCGCCUCGUCCAUUUUGUCACCUUGAAAGAUGUCUACACACUCAGAUGUUUGCUUGGCACAGGUCUCUGUCGGUAGCCAGUCAUUUUCUUCCAAAGGAUUGAGGGUUUCAGCGGCUUCUUGUGGGUCACCUGCACCUUGGCCUUUGGAGGAAGUGUUGAAACCCUCCCAGUCAUCCCCCUGGGAAUAUCCUUGCUCUGUGACACACUCCGAGGGUCCCUGAAAGGCUCCGUGUGGAACAUCACCAAAUGCUUCAAAUGUGGCGUAAGAGAGCUUUUCAGAGGCUUCUUCAAGAGCCGGAUGUGCCAUGGGUGGCUUGGCAAAGGCAUUAGGAGAUGAGCACGGGCUGGCAUCGGGUGGCUUGGCAAAGGCAUUAGGAGAUGAGCACAGGCUGGCAUCGGGUGGCUUGGCAAAGGCAUUAGGAGAUGAGCACGGGCUGGCAUUGGGUGGCUUAGCAAAGGCAUUAGGAGAUGAGCACGGGCUGGCAUUGGGUGACUCUUCCUCUGAGGAGUGGGAUUCAUCAUCCUCACCAUCAUCGUCGGAGUUGGCAGGUUGGGGCUGGCUCUGCGAUCUGCUGGUGGGCUCGCUGCUUAGGGAGAGAUUGUCUGUGAGAUCUGCGUGAGUCAGCAUGGAGAGGGCCGUGCUGUCCACGCUGGCCUGAGUUGUUCCUCUCUCUGUAAAACUGUCCUCUGAGGGGUUGGCUUCAAAUUCUUCUGCCUCGUGUGAUGUACCGAAGAUGUCUUGAGUUAGUGCAAGUGGCUCAACAAAGGCGGAAGACUGUGUUGUCUGGUCUUCAGGUUUUGGCAGGUCUUCAGUUGUCUCUUCCUGACUGUCAGUCGCCGUGGCAAUUUCUCCAUUUAAAAACGGUUCAGUUUGAGGGGGCACCCCUACCCCUACCGCACUCUCCACGGUCUCUUCUGGGAAGUCGUCCUCGUAUAGAAUGUUUGCUUGGGUGCUCUCAGGCUGCUCCUCAGGCAUCACGUCUGCGUACUCCAGCCUCUCCUUAUCCUCCCACGUGUCCUCAAAGUCUUGUAGUUCUUUAUCUGCCUCUUUAUAAUCAGUCCUUGACUGAUCUUCUGCCAUUUCAGUUCUCUCCUCAUCCAGCUUACUCGUUGUGUCAACAGUCAGGCUCUCGCUUUCCUCAUCACCGUGGUCUUCUUGGAGAGCAGUGUAGUGGGUUUCUGAAGGAGCAUCUCUCACCACAUUGUGAAGGGGUUCACUGAGUGCCAUCUUACCCAUGGCCUCCACCUCUGGCUCCUCAGACAGGUCCUCCAUGGUGUCAAACCUUUUGGACUUGGUGACGCCCCGGUGUCCUGUCCCUGCCUCCCGGUCGUCUUCGCUGUCGCUGGAAUCGCUCACGCUCAUGUGGGAGGCCUGGGUGUUCACGUCGGUGUCGUCACUUUCGUACCGGAUGAGGGGUCGGGUGUCCGCGAGCGUGUUGUCCAGUCCGUAACUGUCCAGGUCCCCGGGGUCGGUUCUCCAUGACAUGGACACGUUUGGAGAGUCGUCCAGCUCCUCUCGCUCCUUCUCCUCUGAAUCACUGUAGUCCUUCUUCUCCUCCAUCUCCUCCCUCUCAUUGUAGCCAUCUUCAUGUAGAUCUGGGUGUUCUUCGCUAUAGUGCGUUUGUUCCUGUUCAUGAUAUGUAGGCAAUGCAUCUACUUCAAAAUUCAUGCUGGAAUUGUGAUAUGGGAUAGAGAGUACGUCCUCCUCCAAGUCUCUUUCUCUUGAUAGGUAUUGUUCUGUGCCUGCACAUUUUUCUUCCAUCAUUUCCUCCAUCAUUUCACCAGUAAACAUUAUAUCUUUCUCACCCUUAAACCCCCUCAGUUCCUCUUCAACCUUUUCCUCCGGUAUCACACCAUCUUUCUGUGAAAAGUCAUUAUCAUAACCACCUUCACAUACAUUCUCUGUUUCCUGUUCCCUACAUUUCAAUGCAUUUAUUCUGUCACUUUCAUCAACCAUGUUCUCUGCUGACUGAGCCUGACUCAUGUCCGUCUCUCCCUCUGAGUCAAAGAAGCCAUUCUUUUCCUCUAGAUCUGCCAAACCAUUGCUUAUCGUCUCAACAUGAUCCGUAGCUUCAAUGGGCAGGUCGUUUAUGUCUUUCUUCACAUCAAGCUCACUGACUCUGUCCGAUCCAGAAACAUCCAGCCAUUCCUCCGUCCUCUCGGUCUUCUCCACACCUGUCACUCGAUCUGCCUCCGCCCUGACGAGUUUGUGUUCAAGCACAGGAGGCGACUGGAUCCACUCAGAGAAAUCAUCUGUCUUGUCACCUUCCGGGUCACCUACUUCAACAGCAUUCAGAUCGGUUGCUUCUGAUGUGCUGUGCGCGUCCGCUCUCUGUACACUGAAGUCCUGCAGCACACCACUGCCAUAGACAGCCGAUGUAUAGUGAACCAUCUCAUCACACAUAACGCUGUCUUCUGUAACAAGCAUGUCAGAGGCUACCUGCUGAUCUUCUGCCCCAGUCUUGUCCUCCCCCUUGAAGGACUCUUCUGUGAGUAGGGCGUUUGAUGUGGCUGAGGCAGUAGAGAAAGCUGAUGCAUGUGUCACCUCCUCGUAAACUUCCUCAGGCCUGAAGUGAUCCACAGAAUCCUUUCCGUUCAGUGAGUCGUCUGUGGAGGGCAUGGUCCAGUGUUCCGGCCCAGACACCUGCUCCCCUUGUGCAGCCUGAGAAUGCUCAGGAGAUGCAGGAGAAAUGUAGUUUGGGACAGAGAGGGGUGUUGUGGAUGUCAGCAGUGGUUUAGGCUGGAAACUUGAUCUCAUGGCUGUGGUGGAGGGUCUGCUUGUUUGACUAGAGAAGUGUGUUCUUUGAAGGGUUUGCUUCCGCUCUUGAAGGCUUGGGAAUCCAUCUGUAAAUAACAAAGCAGUUUAUGUUAGUGAACCGGUUUGUUUGACUGUGUUUAACUAGACAUUCACUCUAGGAAACUAAAGAUCAGCUAGACUGGCGGUUAGAUUUCAUAGAUCUCUACACUUUGACCUCCAGCUCUACUUUACUAGUGAUGAUGCUCCGGAUAUCUGCCCAUUUCCUGCCCACAAUAAAACCUUGCAAUCUAUAACAGAAAAACCUCCAGAGCCAAUCAAAUGUCUCCUCCGAA